rnacentral:rRNA from 1 species
AACGAACGCUAGCGGCAGGCUUAACACAUGCAAGUCGAACGGGUGCAGCAAUGCAUCAGUGGCAGACGGGUGAGUAACACGUGGGAACCUUCCUAGGGGUACGGAACAACUCAGGGAAACUUGAGCUAAUACCGUAUACGUCCGUGAGGAGAAAGAUUUAUCGCCCUUAGACGGGCCCGCGUCGGAUUAGCUAGUUGGUGGGGUAACGGCCUACCAAGGCGACGAUCCGUAGCUGAUCUUAGAGGAUGAUCAGCCACACUGGGACUGAGACACGGCCCAGACUCCUACGGGAGGCAGCAGUGGGGAAUCUUGGACAAUGGGCGCAAGCCUGAUCCAGCCAUGCCGCGUGAGUGAAGAAGGUCUUCGGAUUGUAAAGCUCUUUUGCCAGGGACGAUAAUGACGGUACCUGGAGAACAAGCCCCGGCAAACUUCGUGCCAGCCGCCGCUGUAA